ensembl:snoRNA small nucleolar RNA SNORA18
ACUGAGGCCUAUCCCGAUGGACCCUCUACCAUAGGGCCAUAUCGUUGGAAAUGCCUCACAGACUAAGCUGUAGUUUGCUUUACCCAUGUGGUGACUAUAAUUUACCAGGUGGGAUAAAACGACAGAACAAUU